rnacentral:rRNA from 1 species
UAUACAUGCAAGUCGAGCGGACAGAAGGGAGCUUGCUCCCGGAUGUUAGCGGCGGACGGGUGAGUAACACGUGGGUAACCUGCCUGUAAGACUGGGAUAACUCCGGGAAACCGGAGCUAAUACCGGAUAGUUCCUUGAACCGCAUGGUUCAAGGAUGAAAGACGGUUUCGGCUGUCACUUACAGAUGGACCCGCGGCGCAUUAGCUAGUUGGUGGGGUAAUGGCUCACCAAGGCGACGAUGCGUAGCCGACCUGAGAGGGUGAUCGGCCACACUGGGACUGAGACACGGCCCAGACUCCUACGGGAGGCAGCAGUAGGGAAUCUUCCGCAAUGGACGAAAGUCUGACGGAGCAACGCCGCGUGAGUGAUGAAGGUUUUCGGAUCGUAAAGCUCUGUUGUUAGGGAAGAACAAGUGCGAGAGUAACUGCUCGCACCUUGACGGUACCUAACCAGAAAGCCACGGCUAACUACGUGCCAGCAGCCGCGGUAAUACGUAGGUGGCAAGCGUUGUCCGGAAUUAUUGGGCGUAAAGGGCUCGCAGGCGGUUUCUUAAGUCUGAUGUGAAAGCCCCCGGCUCAACCGGGGAGGGUCAUUGGAAACUGGGAAACUUGAGUGCAGAAGAGGAGAGUGGAAUUCCACGUGUAGCGGUGAAAUGCGUAUAGAUGUGGAGGAACACCAGUGGCGAAGGCGACUCUCUGGUCUGUAACUGACGCUGAGGAGCGAAAGCGUGAGGAGCGAACAGGAUUAGAUACCCUGGUAGUCCACGCCGUAUACGAU